AUGCCUCGUCAUCUAAUUAGUGACGCGCAUGAAUGGAUUAACGAGAUUCCUACUGUCCCUAUCUACUAUCUAGCGAAACCACAGCCAAGGGAACGGGCUUGGAAUAAUUAGCGGGGAAAGAAGACCCUGUUGAGCUUGACUCUAGUCUGGCAGUGUAAGGAGACAUAAGAGGUGUAGCAUAAGUGGGAGAUAUAUAUAGUUUCGGCUAAAUAUAUCAAAAAUGAAAUACCACUACUCUUAUUGUUUCCUUACUUACUUGAUAAAAUGGAACGUGUAUCAUUCACUUAGCCAUUAUACGGAUAUAUUUAUAUAUUUUAUGGUAUUUUGUUUUGAUGCGAGCUUCUUGUUUAAAGUACCAAGAGUUUGUUAUAUACACCAAACAAAUAUCAAUUAAAUUUGCUUUCCAUUAAUAAUGGUUUGUUAAAUAUUAAUUGAAUUUGGUAUAACUAUUAUACUCAGGUAUGAUCCAAUUCAAGGACAUUGCCAGGUGGGGAGUUUGACUGGGGCGGUACAUCUCUCAAAUAAUAACGGAGGUGUCCCAAGGCCAGCUCAGUGCGGACAGAAACCACACAUAGAGCAAAAGGGCAAAUGCUGACUUGAUCUCGGUGUUCAGUACAUACAGAGACAGCAAAAGCUCGGCCUAUCGAUCCUUUUGGUUUAAAGAGUUUUUAACAAGAGGUGUCAGAAAAGUUACCACAGGGAUAACUGGCUUGUGGCG
rnacentral:rRNA from 1 species